UGAAUACACGACCGGCGCACGGGUGAGUAACACGUUUGCAACCUUCCUCUAACUGGAGAAUAGCCCGAAGAAAUUCGGAUUAAUACUCCAUAAAGUCAAUUUAAGGCAUCUUUUAUUGAUUAAAGCUCCGGCGGUUAGAGAUGGGCAUGCGUGUCAUUAGCUAGUUGGUGAGGUAACGGCUCACCAAGGCCACGAUGACUAGGGGGUCUGAGAGGAUGAUCCCCCACACUGGUACUGAGACACGGACCAGACUCCUACGGGAGGCAGCAGUGAGGAAUAUUGGGCAAUGGACGCAAGUCUGACCCAGCCAUGCCGCGUGCAGGAUGACUGCCCUAUGGGUUGUAAACUGCUUUUGUUUGGGAAGAAACCCCCGAUCGUGAUCNGGGGCUGACGGCACCAUACGAAUAAGCAUCGGCUAACUCCGUGCCAGCAGCCACGGUAAUACGGAGGAUGCAAGCGUUAUCCGGAUUCAUUGGGUUUAAAGGGUGCGCAGGCGGAAUAUUAAGUCAGUGGUGAAAUCCUGCAGCUUAACUGUAGAACUGCCAUUGAUACUGAUAUUCUUGAAUAUAGUUGAGGUGGGCGGAAUGUGUAAUGUAGCGGUGAAAUGCUUAGAUAUUACACAGAACACCAAUUGCGAAGGCAGCUCACUAAACUAAUAUUGACGCUGAGGCACGAAAGCGUGGGUAGCAAACAGGAUUAGAUACCCUGGUAGUCCACGCUGUAAACUAUGAUCACUCG
rnacentral:rRNA from 1 species